GAUCGACUGGCCCAGUGGUUAAGGCGUCUGUCUUACACGUGACCAUAACAAGCCCUAACCCUAUGGUUACAGCUGAUGUUAGGCUCAAUACGAGCACAGAAGAUCCCAGGUUCGAUCCCUGGGUCGAUCA